CCUACGGGAGGCAGCAGUAGGGAAUCUUCCACAAUGGACGCAAGUCUGAUGGAGCAACGCCGCGUGAGUGAAGAAGGUCUUCGGAUCGUAAAACUCUGUUGUUAGAGAAGAACACGAGUGAGAGUAACUGUUCAUUCGAUGACGGUAUCUAACCAGCAAGUCACGGCUAACUACGUGCCAGCAGCCGCGGUAAUACGUAGGUGGCAAGCGUUGUCCGGAUUUAUUGGGCGUAAAGGGAACGCAGGCGGUCUUUUAAGUCUGAUGUGAAAGCCUUCGGCUUAACCGGAGUAGUGCAUUGGAAACUGGAAGACUUGAGUGCAGAAGAGGAGAGUGGAACUCCAUGUGUAGCGGUGAAAUGCGUAGAUAUAUGGAAGAACACCAGUGGCGAAAGCGGCUCUCUGGUCUGUAACUGACGCUGAGGUUCGAAAGCGUGGGUAGCAA
rnacentral:rRNA from 1 species